rnacentral:ncRNA from 1 species
GCCCCGGUAAACGGCGGCCGUAACUAUAACGGUCCUAAGGUAGCGAAAUUCCUUGUCGGGUAAGUUCCGACCUGCACGAAUGGCGUAACGACUUCAGCACUGUCUCAACGAGGAGCUCAGCGAAAUUGAAUCGGCGGUGAAGAUGCCGUGUACCCGCGACAAGACGGAAAGACCCCGGCACCUUUACUACAGCUUGACAGUGAAUUUUGGGGUAGCUUGUGUAGGAUAGGUGGGAGACUUUGAAGUCAAGGCGCAAGCUUUGAUGGAGUCAUCCUUGAAAUACCACCCUAGUUAUUCUAGAAUUCUAAUCCAGAUCCGUAAUCCGGAUCGGAGACACUGUCUGGUGGGUAGUUUGACUGGGGCGGUCGCCUCCUAAAAAGUAACGGAGGCGUACGAAGGUUCCCUCAGGCUGAUUGGAAACCAGCCAUAGAGUGUAAGGGCAUAAGGGAGCUUGACUGUGAGACUGACAAGUCGAGCAGGUGCGAAAGCAGGUCCUAGUGAUCCGGCGGUUCCAUAUGGAAGGGCCGUCGCUCAACGAAUAAAAGGUACGCCGGGGAUAACAGGCUUAUCUCCCCCAAGAGUCCACAUCGACGGGGAGGUUUGGCACCUCGAUGUCGGCUCAUCGCAUCCUGGGGCUGAAGUAGGUCCCAAGGGUUUGUCUGUUCGCCAAUUAAAGCGGUACGUGAGCUGGGUUUAGAACGUCGUGAGACAGUUCGGUCCCUAUCUGUCGUGGGCGUAGGAUAUCUGAGAGGAGCUGUCCUUAGUACGAGAGGACCAGGAUGGACAAACCUCUAGUGUACCAGUUGUUUCGCCAGAAGCAUGGCUGGUUAGCUAUGUUUGGAAAGGAUAACCGCUGAAAGCAUCUAAGCGGGAAGCCUACCUCAAGAUUAGAUAUCCCUCCCGUUUAUCGGGACUAAAGACCACUGGUAGACUACCAGUUUGAUAGGUCAGAUGUGUAAGUCCGGUGACGGAUUUAGCUAACUGAUACUAAUCGGUCGUGAGGCUUGACCAU